UAAAUGAAUAAAUCAAGAAAAAUAAAUUGAAAACAUGGAUUACGAUAUAAAUAAUCGAUCGAUUGUGGCUCGGCGACACAAGUGGUUUAUAGAACGGAUAGAAUAGAAGCAAAGUUUGGCAUGCUGGUCAAAGGAUGCAAGUCACAAAGUGCAGUUUGAAACGUGGACAAUCUAUAUUGCAAGGCAGCUCCGGCUCACGGCUUGCAGCCUAGCUAAAAGGGCAAACCAGCAAGCCCGCCAAGCAGCCCGUCAGCUUGCUAUAGAGCCACACAUUCAGGAGCAUGAGAGAGGGCAAAGAGAUAUACAGUAUAUAUAGGAUAUCUGAUGUAACGUGUUGCUGGUUUGUUCGCUAGCCAGAGCCGCUGAUCUGGUUUCUUAUACACACCUCGGUAGUUCAAACCGAUUCAAUCCUGUUUUUCUGAAAGUUCGAGGACUUCAGAGUCGACUCUCUCUCUUUCUCGCUGCUCUUUAUGUCUCUUUGGUUUGCCCGUUUUGCUACGCUGUUGCACUGUUUCGUGCCCACGUACUAUCACGGAUCUCUCAAGUGUGUCCAUGUGUGUAUGCAUGUGUGUGUGUGUGUGUGUGUGUGUGUGUGUGUGUGUGUAUAUAUGUUGCGUGCCUGCGUUCUAGCUGUGUUGCGUCUGUCAGCUCGAAGAAGGACAACUGGUUUCCGGUUCAAACUGCUUCAACUUCAGUUGGGUCGGUCCAUCGAAGCAAAAGCAACACUAUACCAACGAGGGCUUCUAUAACGGCACGUCAUUGUUGAAAAUAGUUGCAUAUUUAUACAAGUUUAAUACACUUGCACUUGAAGGCGGUCAAAGAUGAUCUCUUUCCUUGUCAUCGACCAAAAAUCCGGCUCCUCGUCAACUAAAAGAGCCUCACUUCUCCUCCUCCCUCCUUCAGACUUCUACCCUCGUCUCCAUCUAUAGCCCACGUCAAACGAUCUGUACGACCGAUAUACGACAUCCUCGACCCCCUUCUUGGCCGUGUCUGAUAUUACAUUUGGAUGAUUCAAAGAGAGCUGAAUAUACUACAAGCUAU